UACGUAGGGGGCGAGCGUUAUCCGGAAUUAUUGGGCGUAAAGGGCGCGUAGGCGGUUAUUUAAGUCUGGUGUGAAAACCCAGGGCUCAACCCUGGAUCUGCAUCUGAUACUGGGUAUCUUGAGGACAGGAGAGGAAAGUGGAAUUCCUAGUGUAGCGGUGAAAUGCGUAGAUAUUAGGAGGAACACCAGUGGCGAAGGCGACUUUCUGGACUGUAACUGACGCUGAGGCGCGAAAGCGUGGGGAGCAAACAGG
rnacentral:rRNA from 1 species